rnacentral:rRNA from 1 species
UUUAUGGAGAGUUUGAUCCUGGCUCAGGAUGAACGCUGGCGGCGUGCCUAAUACAUGCAAGUCGAGCGAACAGAUAAGGAGCUUGCUCCUUUGACGUUAGCGGCGGACGGGUGAGUAACACGUGGGUAACCUACCUAUAAGACUGGAAUAACUCCGGGAAACCGGGGCUAAUGCCGGAUAACAUGUUGAACCGCA